UCUUGUCCGCUGUGUGGUGUGAGCCAAUAUGUCCUUGAGCCGAUGGUCUAUGACCACGGGCUUGGAACAUCGCCAAGUAGGUGUGAGCGUCUCGCGUCAGAUGAACCCGAAGCUUGGCUGACCUCGCCCACCUGAACUUCCCCUUGGUUCAGGCAAACGGUUCGCUUCGCACGGCGGACACCUU
rnacentral:other from 1 species